rnacentral:misc_RNA from 1 species
AGCCUCCAUUUUGCAUUCCGAAUGCUAAUGGUUCUUUUCCGUCGAGAGUUAUCUUUUGAUGAGGCUCUUCAGAUGUGGGAGAUGAUGUGGGCUGCUGAUUUUGAUGAAUCAUUGGCCUGUGAUUUAGAAGAGAACUGCCUGGAGGCACUGGUGCUACAUCUUCCAAGGGAUUCUGGAGGGGAAUUAAAAGUAGAAAGCACAGAAAAUGGUAAUGGUAGUUCAAAUGAUUGUUCACAAGUGAAGCAUGGAAAUAUGGACCACUCCAUCUCUGAGGACACUGCAAUGAAGUCAGUAUCAGCUUAUCCCUUUUGUGGUUUGACAAGGAGUUUCUGG